GACGAACGCUGGCGGCGUGCUUAACACAUGCAAGUCGAACGAAGCGGCGGACGGGUGGGUAAUGCCUAGGAAUCUGCCUGGUAGUGGGGGGUAACGUCCGGAAACGGGCGCUAAUACCGCAUACUAUCAGAUGAGCCUGGGUCGGAUUGGCUAGUUGGUGGGGUAAAGGCCUACCACGGCGACGAUCCGUAACUGGUCUGAGAGGAUGAUCAGUCACACUGGAACUGAGAUACGGUGCAGACUCCUACGGGAGGCAGCAGGGGGGAAUUGGGGAAAAUGGGCGAAAGCCUGAUCCAGCCAUGCCGCGUGUGUGAAGAAGGGCUGCGGAUUGUAAAGCACUUUAAGUUGGGAGGCGUUACCAGCAGAAGAAGCACCGGCUAACUUCGUGCCAGCAGCCGCGGUAAUUC
rnacentral:rRNA from 1 species